rnacentral:lncRNA from 1 species
CACAAUUUUAUAUUAAAAUGCAUAGAAAAAGAAAAUGAGGAAUUAUGGCAAAAUAAUUAUUGCUUCUAGAUAUUAAAGUUAUGUCAUUUAAAAAAAUUUUUAACUUCUUCUUCUUUUCUUUUUUUUUCUUCUUUUUUUAGCCACACCUGCAUCAUGUGGAAGUUCCUGGGCCAGGGAUCAAACCUAUGCCACAGCAGUGCCCAAACCACUGCAGUGACAGUACCAGAUCCUUAGCCCGUUGUGCCACAAGGGAAAUCCUUCUUCUUUGUAAUUUUUUAGUGCAUUCCAUAUUUUCUAAGUGACGAUUUAGUACUUUAAUAAUCCGUAAUAGAACUGAUAAGUAAACAAACACAAAAUAAACUUCCCAUUUCUGGAAUCCUGUCUCCUGUUACUCCUUCUGCUAGACUCUCAAGCAUCUUCCAAGGUGCAGGUCAAAGUUCACCUCCUCUGUGAAAACUUCCUAGACUCAGACAGAGUUAGUCACUCCCUCUGAUGGGUUUGUCAGCUCUUUGCAUGCGUCUCUCUCCCACAGGUAUCACAGUGACUCAUUUAUUUGUUGUUCCUACUAAACUGAGGGUCGGGGGCCGUCUUUUGUCAUCUUGUCUCCAUGAUAUCCAGGACAGCAUCUAAUACAAAAUAGAUAUUUAAUUCAUCAUUCCUGUGGUUAUUGACUGGCUCAGUUCUCUAUCUCUGAUUCUCUUGCUUGAAAUACGUGUCCUUUCUCAGCUGACCUUCCUAAGAAACCAAAGAAGUGGGAAGGCAUGAGGGCAAAGACGUUUCUCAGCUCCAUCAACGACUGCCUUUCGUCUUCCAGCUCAUGGCCACAUGAGCCAAGGGCGCUGACAACCCAUGAAGCACCCAAAUGGCAACUGGAUGGGAAAAUUGUUUUCAACUUCCUUUGCUUCGGAAUGGGAACCCAGUGCCCCUUCUCGUGGGGGGCUCCUUAGUGAGGUGUGGUGCCCUUCAUGCGAGAGAGAGGAGACUGGAGAAACGGGCUGAUUAAGACGGCAACGGAGCACCAAGGAAACAAAGGUUAGUCUUCUAAGUGUUUUUCCGAGCACCAGAGUUUCAAUUCAAGCCUCCCACACAGUGACAGGAAAAGCCCAAGGCUGAAUGGUUUUGUUUUUACUUCAGUAGUAAAAUAUCAAGGAUGUUUCAGUGGAGAGUUUCUGAUAUACAUUUCAGUAUGUCAAGCUUUUAUCCGGGUCUCUAUAACUUGUGAGAAGAUGCUUGAGGCUGGUGCGAGGGCUGGUGAAGGGGUAUGCUAUGUGAUUAUUAUCGUUAUAUGGUGAGAAAAAAAUUUUUUUGUCCUCUCUGGGUUGAAGAGCAUUUGCUUUGUAAACACUGCGGCUGAGAAAUUUACAGAUAUGGGAGGGCCCUCUGGCUACGAGAGGUUUAUGGGUUUUCUUCCUUUAAAACAUUAGAAUCUCUUAUAUAACCCAUGGGCUAUCUUUUUUUUUUUUUUUUUUUUUUUCUGAGUAGCCC